UACGGAGGGGGCUAGCGUUGUUCGGAAUUACUGGGUGUAAAGCGCACGUAGGCGGCUUUGUAAGUUAGAGGUGAAAGCCCGGGGCUCAACUCCGGAAUUGCCUUUAAGACUGCAUCGCUAGAAUUGUGGAGAGGUAAGUGGAAUUCCGAGUGUAGAGGUGAAAUUCGUAGAUAUUCGGAAGAACACCAGUGGCGAAGGCGACUUACUGGACACAUAUUGACGCUGAGGUGCGAAAGCGUGGGGAGCAAACCGG
rnacentral:rRNA from 1 species